rnacentral:tRNA from 1 species
GGAGGAGUCGCAUAGUGGCCGAGUGCGCGCGCUUGGAAAGCGCGUGAGCGGGGUAACCUGCUCCGCGGGUUCGAAUCCCGCCUCCUCCG